AAGGAAGGGCAUUCCAGAUGGAAAUAACCUUAAGAGUCCACCAACAACCAGCACACCACCACAGCUGCUUCUCAGGGAGGACACGUUACUCAGCUGGGCAGCAAUGCAGAGAGUGGCUGAGAUACUAGGAGAAUAAGCUGUAGCCUGACUGGAAAAUCUUGAAGGCAAUGAUCAGAUUUUAUUUUUGAAGCAAUCCUGAGGUUAAAAUGUGGGGUCAAAAGAGUCACCAGGCAACAACAGAGAUGGAACAGCAACUCAAAGAGCGGCCUGACGAGGGAGGGGUUUUGCCUGAGAGCGGACAGGAGAGCUGGGUGUCAGAUGAACAAGGUCCUGCACAAGGUGUGGUCCUGGGGAAGAAUAAAGGGCCCUCCUCAGAAUGGUGUUCUCACCUCCGGCUGCACAGAAUUACCUGGGGAGGCUGUGAAAAACUCCAGUGGCUAAGCCUCAUCUCAGCCAACGUCAUCCAUCUCUGUGGGUGAGAUCCAGGCACUGGGAGCUUUCCAUGUGCAUCCAGGAUUAACAAACACUCCCUUAGACAAAUACUUUUGUUCCCUGCGUCAGUAGGAAUGGAUGAGAGUCUGAGACAUUUAGAAACAGGGAGAUUUCAAGACAGAGGAAAUUGAUCUCUUCAAUAAAGAAGAUAAGGUCAUCUGUUAAGAACA
rnacentral:lncRNA from 1 species